GACGCCCCUGCUCCGUGAAGGGGGCCAGACAUAAAAGGUGUAUACUACAUGAGUGCAUUUGUCUGAAAGACCCAGAAAAGGCAGCUCUGCAGGGGCAGAAAGCUGCUGGGGCUGGUGGGGCGGGGAGCGGGGGUGACCCACACAGGAACAGAGGGGCCCCAGGGGCAGCCGGGGCUCCACGAGUUGCUAAACUGACUGACGAGUGCUCAGCUGGCCACUGAGCAUGAGGGAGCUCCAGGGCCUGCAGGUUCCACCUGAGUAACGUGGUCAAAGCCGAAACAGAGGUCGGGCUGCAAGUGCAAGUCCAGGACGGGGCAGGGCUCCAGCACCUCCACCCACCCUCUCCAGCGGGAAACGUCAUCCAGCUGGAAUCCCGGUCAGAGGACAGGCUAAAAAUAACCUGCUUUACACUUGUGGCACAAAAUACCUAGCGUCACAAAACGGAAAGAACAAAACAAGGUCCAGAGCUCUUGGGGAAUCAACCUCAGGUGAGACCAGGUCCUCGACGUGACCACCAGGGGGCACCAUCCACCGCCCGCCCGCCCCACAGACACUGCAGGAGCGCUGAGGGCCUGUGCAGGGCUUCCUCAGAAACGCCAGGAUUCUUGGGCUGUGACACGGAGUCACAGACUCUGUACAAGGGUGUGAAGACAGACGGAUACUCAGCCAUGGGGCCUGGGUUUUCUAAAUGAUCACUGUUUCUUAGUUUGGGGAUCAGUGUCUGGUUAAGACAACGACACUGUGGUUUCAGCUCCAGACACCGUCAGGAAUGUGUGCUUAAUCUCUGGAGCCCCGGAGGGUCUCAGAAAGCAGCGAGUGCUGGGUCCAGUCCCUCAGGUAGGAGCUCACACCACGUUCAUGGAACAGGGAAAAGGCCUCACAGAUAAAGAGGCGUUUCCUCACCUGAGAGCCCUGGGCCCAGGAACGAGGCGGGAGCACGAGGACCAGAGCCACACGGGGGUUCCCGGCCGGCCAGACCCUGCCGUCUCUGCAAACAGGCAGGGGCGGCCGCGGCCACGUGACAGGAGACCCUCCACGCUGCAGCACGGACCCUAAACACAGCGCCCUCCCCCAAACACCAGACACCCCGAGCUGCACCCAGGAGCCGAGACAAGAGUCCGCAGACGCGGCAAGAUUACCAUGGACCCGGACUCUCAGAACCUAACACCCUAUCAGAGCUACUGGAAGCAGACAACACAGUCUUAAAGAUCCUCUGGGUUCUCUAGGUCUGUGAUGAAACAAGCCCGAAUUCAAAUCUGACACUGAGGAAAACGUGAAAGGAACUCAUCUGAGGGGCCUGAGGCUGCCCCACCCACAGGCGGUGGCCGGCAGGUGGCUGCAGACACCCACCCGCUGCUGGUGUCAGAGAGAGAGGCGCCCCAAGGGCUCAAGCCCAGGCUGCCGGCUGGGCCUGCUCCUCCGCGUCCAUCUCCCCAUCAGGCCCGCCCCCUGAGGACCCAGGGCCGCGCACACAGGUGUGAAACAAGAAACAGCAGAGAAGGUCCUUGUUCCCGGCAGGCAACACCACGUGUGGCUCAGGAGCACACACUUCACGGUUCACACUCAUCGGCAAGGCUCCUCCUAGGCUAGAGGGAGCGCUGCAAACAAGGGCCCGUGAAGAACGGUGAUCCUGAGGUCUCUCUUGGAACUCACUGGGAAUUCGAGGACUAGCUCAGUCCAGGACAGUUUCAGAGCUACAUUUAUAGUGCCUCAUAGGCCUCUCAAAUGACACCUCUGCAUGUUUUCUCUAUUUUAACACCAAUGCCUAAGACCCUAUAUUUAUCCGGAUUAAAUGUCAACUCCUUGGAUCUCAGGCUGUCAGGAUCUGCCUGGAUUCUAAUUCUGCCCGAGAACUUCGCCACUCAGCUCUGGGGCGCUCUUCCUCAGCCAGCCCAGGUUGCCGGUAUCUCCCCGGCCUGGAGGGUCCGGCGGGCCUCCGGCAGGAGAGGUGGCUCAAGAAAAUGCAGGACAGGCUGAGAGCAGCAGGGGACACGCUUCCAGACGGGGUGACGGGGGGUCAGCAACUCCCGUCCCAGGAGGGCGAUUCUUCCAGGCACACGAGCUACUUUAUAUAAAGCUCCUUCCAGACACUUCUGCCCCGGCGACAGGACGCCAAGGAGCCUGGGGAACUUGGCUAGGAUUACGUAGGACAUGAUACCUGCAUCGACCCAAUUAACUCAGAGGAGAAGGACGCUGCUGCAGUUCUGAGCAUGGACGUGUGCGCUGUGGGGAUGCCUGGUUUCUCCAAAGAGGCCCGACUCAAAUCCAUUUGCUGCUCGGUCACACCCGCUACACACACACUUUGUCAAUGGUAAGUGACCGGCCUGGGAUCCACCUCCAGCAUAAGGACCAUCUGUCUGCCACCAGGCGAAAUUCAACAGGUCACAGGAGACCUCACAAAAAGCUUCAGACACAUGUGGAGUGGCAAUCCUAGGACCCGGUGAGCCCGCCGCUGUGUGCCUUAGAGUCUGCAAAGUAAGCCGGCAAGAUUAGGACAAACCUCUAGCAGAAAGGUUCACGGCUUUGUCUGGAAACCAACACCACUGAGCACAGAUUCUGAUCCCCACCAGAGGUGGCCCCUCGUGGUGCUGAUGAGUCCCAACGAUCUGAGCCGCGCUGACCAGGCCCAGAGAGGUGAGAACUCGCCACCGCCUGACGCCAAAGUGGAGGGGACACCUCAUUACCGCGCAGGAGACGUGGCUCGCAUGGCCUCUGCUCGCUGCGCCCGAGAAAGCAGCGGUUCCCGCAAGUGGAUUUCUGUUUCCCCACUGGCCUCUAUAACAAAGUAUUGCUUUUCCUCUGAGGAACUUUAAAAACAAAAAAAUCAAUAUUCUAACAAUCAGAUCAUUUGUAAAGCGUCUGGAAUUAUUUUUUAUACGUGGCAAAAAAACCAAGAUCUAGAGGAAAAACAAUUUAAACAAACAGAACUGGCAUUUCAUCUCUUCGGCGUCCGAAUACUGGGCAUCUGGAGGACGCAUGUCCCCUCUCUAGCAGGGUUCCGGUCCGCGGAGGGUCAGGCGGACACAGAAGGAGUGGGAAGGUGGUGGGCGGCGCGCGCUGAGCGGACUCCGCACCCGGCCGGCACACGGUCCUCCCGGCCACCGGGAGAGCACCUUCCCUCCUUCCCCGAUCUCAGGGCCUGCUCCGCCCCAGGCCGCGGGAUCCCGGGCUCGCGGUGACCGUGGCACGGGAAGGGGCGUCCUCAGGGAAGCCCCCAGGCCACGGGCGUGGAGGGGACUUUCAUCCCAAGGUCGU